UGUAACAAACCAUAUAUACACACACAUCACAGGUCAUAUAUAUAUUUUUAAGUACAACACAUUUGAUAGGGAAUAAAAAGGAAAUGGUUGGUGGGAUAUGUGAAUACCCUCCUUGUGCAUUGACCCUCGAUGCAGGACCACUCCCAGACAGUCUGCUUAAUACGCAAAACGCUCACAGUUACAUGCUAAGCAGGUCAAAGCCUUGAGCUUGUGAGACCGAAGGAACGCGAAGUAUGAGAACUAACCCAAGUUGGUGACUGGCCGUGGUUUAAAAGGGAAGGGGAACCGGAUAAUCGCGCGCACACACACACACACACGCUUCAUGAGAUUAACAAGUAGAUCAAGUUAAAAGGUUGCUCUUCGUAUUGGAAACUGCAGAUACGUGAGGGCUUUAAGGUGUCUGUGCAGCUCCGUUAGUUCAGUUAUGCUCAUUAAGGACAGGUGACGUUCGAAUCAGCACCUGGAAUUGGAGAAAAGAUUGAAAUUGCUCUUCCAGUCCAGAAUGGAGUCAGAGUACCGUUUAAUUUUUUGUCCCCACAGCCUGUUGUGCAUCAAACCAAUACUGGUCUUUGCUGGUGGAGAGCUUGAACACUAUUACAUGAGAAAGUCUGGCUGUACGAUGCCACCCAGACAGGACUGAGCCAUUUAGUACCCACUAGCACCUUCAUGAUUGACUUAAAACAUGUGCGUAUUCGAUCGAGGGUGCAUUUUUGCAUCGUUUUGCUCUAGAAAACACCUUUAAAUGUUACUUCCAGUUUAAAUUUCGUACUGUGGCACACAUCGAGCAGUUUUCGUAAUCGCAUACGGGCAGUGAUAGGAAAAAGAUUUGCUUACCGGUCUCAAGAGGAAAAGAAAUAUAACGGUGUACAAAUAGACCUAAAAUAGCCCCUACAAGAGAAGCAUGCCAUUUCAGAUUCAGUCUUGAAGAGAUGCGAGGGCAUAUCGAGCGAGACAAAGUGCAUAUGUAUGCUUUAAUAUUGUGCAGUGGUAAACAAGAGACCAAACGCUCCGCAGGAAUAAUGUCAGCCUUGAUCCCCUAUAGACUUCCUCAUGUGCUUAGCACGAAAUGGGCCUUUAGCAUGGGAGUCUGUGGCUAGAAACCCCCAAACUGUCCGUAGGCUGGUGGCUUUAGUACAUAUAAAGGUCUCGUUUUUACAAAACCCUACAUAUCCGAGUAUCUGUGACGUUUGGGUCUGACAGCAACAACAGGCUUUUCACUGCAGCACUAGUGAGCUUGCUUAUGUCGAGAGAGGGUUUGAGGAAAAAGUCUAUAUUUUUUCCUAACAACAUUCAUAAGAUAUUUGAUCAAAUAAAUAGUUAUGAAUAUCUCUGACUGAAGCAUUGUGCAUUUAAUAUUGGCUAAAAUAAAAAAAAUACAUAUAUAUAUAUUAGCAACCGAGUAUUAAACUACUCCAACCACCGAGAAGCUUAAGUGACUACAUCACUAUAUUUUUAGGUCACACAGGAUUGCGUCUGAUUGGCGGAGAGCAGAUUUGCCGCCAUAUACGCAGGUGCUUUCAGACGGUCCCUGUUUGUGGUGACUGGUUUAGUUAGUAGGAUAAACCCUCAACUUUUCAAAAAGGUUAGUUUAAUAUGCAGAGACAUGUUUCGAUUAGAACGAGCCUCAAGCGUACAUUUUAUGUCGUUGCAGGGGACGAGUAUCCACACACACAAAAUGCCGACCUCACGCAAGAUUCAAUCGUCCCGCAGAAUCCGAUCCCCCCUCAGACCCCAAGAGGUAGCCAUCAGUAAUGCCUUUUCAAAAACAUUGCAUUAUUGUCUUCUAGAUACUCAAAAGUAGUUUUUCUGUUAAUGCUUUUGUAGCGUUAACAUUCAUAGUUCGUAUCAUCUGGAAUAUACGACUGGAUUAACAAAAACAGAAUGGCAAAUGUUUAAUUUGACUAUGUGUAGCUUUGAUUAUUUUUUAUAGUUAUCACACCAUCAUUCAGCGAUUUAGUAGGAUUUCAUAUCAGGCAUUGAAUAGAGUACCCAUUAUAAGAUUUUUUAGGAAAUAGUUUUGCUUUGGGGGUCCGAAGGGGGACGUGAACCUGCGGCGGGACUGAAUUUUGGGCAACGCCACCACUGGCACGCAGCCUACAAUAUAUUGCACACGAUACUGAAAUGUUAGCACUGUAACUUUAGUGAGAAAAGUAAAAUCUCAAGAUGCGAUGUGACGAGGUUGACAACUAAUGAAUUCAGCAACUGGUAAGACCGGCAGAAGUAAAUCCCACGAACGGGGAUAUUAGCACCAUACAAAAAAAUCAUACAGGCUACUGCCUCGGCCGUAAGUCUACUAAUAUAGGCCUACAUUAGCAUAAUGCUGGGCUGUAGCGAGAAACAUACGUACAACCUUAUCACGCUGUUUGUUUGUUUUUUUACACUCAGCUUUUCUUUUUUUUUUUUUUAAACCUGUGUUACUUUUUUUAAUUAAUUUAUAUAUUUUUUUACACAGAGCAUGACUAGCAGACCUCCACCGCCUUUAGGUGACUACUGCUGCGUUCACGUCGCGCCAGAAUUAUCUAAGUUUUUGACAAGCACAAAAACAGUUUACCUCUUAAUCAUAAUUUGAAAAAUUUCGCAAAGUCUGACAUCAAGGACAAAACCGCACAUGGAUCGAUUUUGCCUUUGAGCACCGCCACGGAAAACCAAGUAAUUCUGAUAUGACGUGAACGCAUCACGUCCAUGUUUACGUCAGUGCUGUUUGAUUAUGACAUCAUCGUUCUUUUCCCAGCAACGUGGAGGGCCAAGAGCCCGUGCGCCUCUUUCUUUGAUUGGCUUGUCGAAGAAGUCAUCGAAGAAACUCCACGCCGUUGUGACCCCAAACGACAAAGAAAGACAAACAGCAAUCGGAAAGAAAAUGAUCGAACACGUAAAGCAUGUAAACGUGUGGAGAAUAUAAGGCACCAGAGUUGUUUUUUGACGUUGUAGAGGAUGCUCUGCGCAGAUAUUAACGCAACUCGCACUAGUGGACAGCUCCUUUUUGAGUACCAGGCCCCCUCCCACCCCGUCCCCAAAAACAAAAUAAAGAAAAAUUCCCACAGAAAACGUGGGCAAUUUCAUAAGGAUCUAAGUACAUCUGAUUCACAAAAUCAUAGUUUGUAUAUCUAAGUUAGCACUUCAAUGAAACCGUCUGCCCAAAUGUCAGAGGGCAAUGGUGCAACAGGGUUCAUAUUUAACAGGAACAAACGUCAACCGGUUGUUUUAGCAAUGCCUUCGCUGUGCGGCUACCGAAGCACACAUUGCAUGACACGUGCAAACAAACAAUCUCAUUUGCUUUGUGUAUAGAGUUAAAAGGCAAACGAGUAAACAACAUAUCUAGAUUUCCUCAUAUGCAUUUCAAGGUGCACUUGGUCAUUUUUGGUUUAUGUGAGACAUGAAGCUUCUUCUGCCAUGAUAAAUUUAUUUUGCAAAUGAACGUGACUAAUAACAUUGAGUUUAUGUUGUUAAUUGGUUGGUCACGUGAUCUCAACAUGGCGGCCCCCAUGAUGCAACCAGCGAAAAACUGUUGUGUAAAUAAU